UUCCGGUUGAUCCCGCCGGACCCGACUGCUAUCGGGGUGAGACUAAGCCAUGCGAGUCGUGCGCCCUCGGGUAUGCAGGGCGCGGCGCACGGCUCAGUAACACGUAGCUAACCUACCCUGAGGAGGGGGAUACCCCCGGGAAACUGGGGUUAAUCCCCCAUAGGUCUGGAUACCUGGAAUGGGUUCAGGCCAAAAUGGAUCUGCGCGCAUCCUGCACAGGUCCGCCUCGGGAUGGGGCUGCGGCCCAUCAGGUAGUUGGCGGGGUAAAGGCCCACCAAGCCGAUAACGGGUGCGGGCUCUGGAAGGAGGGGCCCGGAGAUGGGCACUGAGACAAGGGCCCAGGUCCUACGGGGCGCAGCAGGCGCGAAACCUCCACAAUGCGGGAAACCGCGAUGGGGUUACCCCGAGUGUCGCCCGCUGAGGGCGACUUUUCUGGGGUCUAAAAAGCCCCAGGAAUAAGGGGAGGGCAAGUCUGGUGUCAGCCGCCGCGGUAAAACCAGC
rnacentral:rRNA from 1 species